rnacentral:lncRNA from 1 species
GAAAGAAUACUGGGCAUGCUCCUUCUGACCAUAGCUCUUGGCCACUCCAGGAGACAUCUCCUGUAUCAUAACAGUUCAUCCACCAGAGCCUCAGAGGGGAAGGCACGUCUGCAGGAAAGAAUGAGUCUAAGUGGACGCAGUCGAAAGUCAAUGGACCACAGACCUCACAGGGCUGUCUUUGGCUGGGGGCCAUGUUUGGACCGCCAAGUCUUCAACACCACAAUCCCAACUUCUCGAGUGGCUCAGACAGUAAAGAAUCUACAAUGAGGGAGACCUGGGUUCGAUCCCUGGGAUGGGGAGAUCUGCUGGAGGAGGAGCCCCCUGCUUGUAAGGGACUUUCUGCUGCUGGCCACCCAGUUCCUACCCCUUUGUGAAGGUUUUGCUUCUCUGCAGACCUUGUGUUCCCUUCCCCAGAGAGUGAGCCGUAGGACCCACUGUGUCCUGAGAUCCUUGUCUGCCCAAAAUGACUGGCAAGUUCCCAGGACCUAUCAAAGAAGACUUGUUUGCCAAUUUCAAGACACCUGGAGGAUGUUCUUUGCUGUAAAGUAUUUGAAAUUCCUUCGAAGACAAACAGCAAAAUAUACAAAUGGAAAAAGAAGGGAAAAAUCCAUCUGGUCACAGAAAGAGUAGUGUCUUUGAACAUCGAUUUUUUUCACCCAGUCAUUUAUUGGAUAAAUACUUACUUCAGAGUUAUUCUAUAAAACACAGUUAUUCUCUGUCUCUGUUUUGAGACAGAGAAACAUGCUGGUUCUGACUCUCGUAGUAAGAAUGUUGAGUGGGAACAGAUAUUUUUAAGUAUCAAGAAAUACUUGCUUAAUUAAACCUGUAAUUAAAACUAUAGGAAAUAAAACCAGGGUGCUUUGAUUUCA